rnacentral:rRNA from 1 species
GAGCGAUGGAUUAAGAGCUUGCUCUUAUGAAGUUAGCGGCGGACGGGUGAGUAACACGUGGGUAACCUGCCCAUAAGACUGGGAUAACUCCGGGAAACCGGGGCUAAUACCGGAUAACAUUUUGAACUGCAUGGUUCGAAAUUGAAAGGCGGCUUCGGCUGUCACUUAUGGAUGGACCCGCGUCGCAUUAGCUAGUUGGUGAGGUAACGGCUCACCAAGGCAACGAUGCGUAGCCGACCUGAGAGGGUGAUCGGCCACACUGGGACUGAGACACGGCCCAGACUCCUACGGGAGGCAGCAGUAGGGAAUCUUCCGCAAUGGACGAAAGUCUGACGGAGCAACGCCGCGUGAGUGAUGAAGGCUUUCGGGUCGUAAAACUCUGUUGUUAGGGAAGAACAAGUGCUAGUUGAAUAAGCUGGCACCUUGACGGUACCUAACCAGAAAGCCACGGCUAACUACGUGCCAGCAGCCGCGGUAAUACGUAGGUGGCAAGCGUUAUCCGGAAUUAUUGGGCGUAAAGCGCGCGCAGGUGGUUUCUUAAGUCUGAUGUGAAAGCCCACGGCUCAACCGUGGAGGGUCAUUGGAAACUGGGAGACUUGAGUGCAGAAGAGGAAAGUGGAAUUCCAUGUGUAGCGGUGAAAUGCGUAGAGAUAUGGAGGAACACCAGUGGCGAAGGCGACUUUCUGGUCUGUAACUGACACUGAGGCGCGAAAGCGUGGGGAGCAAACAGGAUU